UCCAACGUAAGAAUGCAAAGUACCUUUCUUAUUUGAGGCCGUAGUAGCUUAACUCGAAGCAUAGCGGACAUAGAUCAUUUUUCCAUUUUAGCUAUUUUGACCAUAUAUUAGAAAAUCUCACCUUAGUAAAUAAUGCCUUUUGUGAAUAACGGUCUGUAAACGGAGGCUGCAUACUGUCAGUCUACAAGCAGGGGAGGGGUACGGUGGGUGCACAGCUGUUCCAUUUUAAUAUCUCCCCUUGCAGGUGCCUUGUGGUUACAGC